AUGAGUGGGGUGAUGUGCCUUAAAGCAUCAGACACUUGGGCCUCGGGCAUCAGGAGCCAGCCACAGGGAUGUCUGGGGAAAUGGCGUUCCAUGAGAUGCAAGCACACAAGAAUGCACUUGGCACAUCUGGGGAACAGCAGGCAGCUGAUAUCACUGGGCCCACCCCGCACCAGGGAGGAUGGAAGCAGGUCAGAUUAUCCUUGUAGAGGCCCCCUGGAUGGCACCAAGAUCGGCCCUGGCAAGCAGGUGACCCUGACUUCAGAGCCCUUGCCUGAGGGCCUGGCCUGGCAGCUCUGCUGUUAGAAGCAGGAGGUGUGCAGGGGGUGGGGAGCAGCCCAGCCUCUGUGAUCUUCUCCAUGGCAGGAUCUCCCAGCAGGUAGAGCAGAGCCGGAGCCAGGUGCAGGCCAUUGGAGAGAAGGUCUCCUUGGCCCAGGCCAAGAUUGAGAAGAUCAAGGGCAGCAAGAAGGCCAUCAAGGUGUUCUCCAGUGCCAAGUACCCUGCUCCAGAGCGCCUGCAGGAAUAUGGCUCCAUCUUCACGGGCGCCCAGGACCCUGGCCUGCAGAGACGCCCCCGCCACAGGAUCCAGAGCAAGCACCGCCCCCUGGACGAGCGGGCCCUGCAGGAGAAGCUGAAGGACUUUCCUGUGUGCGUGAGCACCAAGCCGGAGCCCGAGGACGAUGCAGAAGAGGGACUUGGGGGUCUUCCCAGCAACAUCAGCUCUGUCAGCUCCUUGCUGCUUUUCAACACCACCGAGAACCUGUAUGGCCAGAAGGCAGGGCCGAGGGGUGUGGGCGGGAGGCCCGGCCUGGCUUAGUGGGGACCCAGGGCAUCAGACACAGGUACAGCACAUAGGCCAGGAGCCAGGGGGUGACUGGGGUGGCUCGGCUCGGGAGGCCUGGGACCCCACAGUGCACGCUGUGCCCCUGAUGAUGUGGGAGAGGAACAUGGGCUCAGGACAGCGGGUGUCAGCUUGCCUGACCCCCAUGUCGCCUCCGUAGGUACAAGAAGUAUGUCUUCCUGGACCCCCUGGCUGGUGCUGUAACAAAGACCCAUGUGAUGCUGGGGGCAGAGACAGAGGAGAAGCUGUUUGAUGCCCCCUUGUCCAUCAGCAAGAGAGAGCAGCUGGAACAGCAGGUCCCAGAGAACUACUUCUAUGUGCCAGACCUGGGCCAGGUGCCUGAGAUUGAUGUUCCAUCCUACCUGCCUGACCUGCCCAGCAUUGCCAACGACCUCAUGUACAGUGCCGACCUGGGCCCCGGCAUUGCCCCCUCUGCCCCUGGCACCAUUCCGGAACUGCCCACCUUCCACACUGAGGUAGCCGAGCCUCUCAAGACCUACAAGAUGGGGUACUAACACCACCCCCACCGCCCCCACCACCACCCCCAGCUCCUGAGGUGCUGGCCAGUGCACCCCCACUCCCACCCUCAACCGCGGCCCCUGUAGGCCAAGGCGCCAGGCAGGACGACGGCAGCAGCAGCGCGUCUCCUUCAGGUGGGAGCAGCUCUUUGAGGCCACCUGAUUUCUGGCGUGCUCAGUGCACUCGGGUGGAUUUUCUGUGGGUUUGUUAAGUGGUCAGAAAUUCUCAAUUUUUUGAAUAGUUUCCAUUUCAAAUAUCUUGUUCUACUUGGUCCAUAAAAUAGUGGCUUUCAAACUGUAGAGCUCUGGACUUCUCACUUCUAGGGCAGAGGGAACCUGAACAAGUGAGGCUCUGGGUUCCCCAUUCCUAAUUAAACCAAUGGAAAGAAGGGGUCUAAUAACAAACUACAGCAACACAUUUUUCAUUUCAGCUUCACUGCUGUAUCUCCCAGUGUAACCCUAGCAUCCAGAAGUGGCACAAAACCCCUCUGCUGGCUCAUGUGUGCAACUGAGACUGUCAGAGCAUGGCUAGCUCAGGGGUCCAGCUCUGCAGGGUGGGGGCUAGAGAGGAAGCAGGGAGUAUCUGCACACAGGAUGCCCGCGCUCAGGUGGUUGCAGAAGUCAGUGCCCAGGCCCCCCCACACAGUCUCCAAAGGUCCGGCCUCCCCAGCGCGGGGCUCCUCGUUUGAGGGGAGGUGACUUCCCUCCCAGCAGGCUCUUGGACACAGUAAGCUUCCCCAGCCCUGCCUGAGCAGCCUUUCCUCCUUGCCCUGUUCCCCACCUCCCGGCUCCAGUCCAGGGAGCUCCCAGGGAAGUGGUCGACCCCUCCGGUGGCUGGGCCACUCUGCUAGAGUCCAUCCGCCAAGCUGGGGGCAUCGGCAAGGCCAAGCUGCGCAGCAUGAAGGAGCGAAAGCUGGAGAAGAAGAAGCAGAAGGAGCAGGAGCAAGGUGAGCGGGCCCUGGAGCCUGCGGUCGGAGGGCCUUGGGCAAGAUCGCCUCCUCCCCUCCAGCCCUGAGUCCACUGGGUGCUUUCUGCCCACCCCCUGCUCUUGCCAGCUGGCCCCUGCUUCCCCUAGGGCACAUGCUGGAAGCCCUGGGCCGCCACCAGAAGUCCUCAGCCCUCCUGCCUGGGCUAUGGCUCCUUCCUGGUUUGGGAGCCAUAGUGAAGCUUUCCUCUCUAAGCUCACCCAGCCCAAACUGUGACAGGAGAAUCUUCUUCGACUGCCAAGAGCGGUCCAAGGCAAUGGUCAGCCACUGCAGCCCCCUGAGAUAUUUUUAGAGACUGGACCUGAGGCCUCUGGAGGCUACUGAUGAUGCCUGCUGUGAACGCAGACACUGGUGUGAUGCGAUGCCUGCGCCUGCAGCGGCAGUGCCCUGGGCACUAUGGUUUUGAGCUUGUACCCAGCGCUGCUUUUGCCUUGCUCUGUGACCCCAGGCAAGCUGCCUCACCUCUCUGGGCCAGUUUCCCCAUCGUACAGUGGUGCUGCACACCCUGGCCCUGGCCCCGAGGUGGCUGGGAGGUGGCUCCUCAAACAGCCGCUUUCUCAUCAGUGCCCGGUGCUGGGUCAGGGAUCGACUGAGGCUCUGAGCUAACUAGGAAACACAGUGGCCUUGGAGGGCUGGGGAGUGUCAUGGGGGUGGGGACAGGGAGCCACCGGUCGCAUGUGACUGAACUCUUCACCCCAGUCUGUGGCUUUCCCGUUGCAGUGAGAGCCACGAGCCAAGGUGGGCACUUGAUGUCGGAUCUCUUCAACAAGCUGGUCAUGAGGCGCAAGGGCAUCUCUGGGAAAGGACCUGGGGCUGGUGAGGGGCCCGGAGGAGCCUUUGCCCGCGUGUCAGACUCCAUCCCUCCUGUGCCCCCACCGCAACAGCCACAGGCAGAGGAGGACGAGGACGACUGGGAAUCCUAGGGGGCUCCAUGACACCUUCCCCCCCAGACCCAGACUUGGGCUGUUGCUCUGACAUGGACACAGCCAGGACAAGCUGCUCAGACCUGCUUCCCUGGGAGGGGGUGACGGAACCAGCACUGUGUGGAGACCAGCUUCAAGGAGCGGAAGGCUGGCUUGAGGCCACACAGCUGGGGCGGGGACUUCUGUCUGCCUGUGCUCCAUGGGGGGACGGCUCCACCCAGCCUGCGCCACUGUGUUCUUAAGAGGCUUCCAGAGAAAACGGCACACCAAUCAAUAAAGAACUGAGCAGAAA
rnacentral:lncRNA from 1 species